UUGGCAGACUGGGAAAUCUCUGCAGGCAAAUGUGAUGUCACUGAAGAAACCACACACUUACCUGUAGAGAUUCUUCAGUCUGACAA
ensembl:miRNA Mir216b microRNA 216b